rnacentral:piRNA from 1 species
UGCACAGAUGAGUGUCUGCUGGCCCACCUC